rnacentral:rRNA from 1 species
GACGAACGCUAGCGGCAGGCCUAAUACAUGCAAGUCGGACGGGAUUUGGGAGCUUGCUCCUAAUGAGAGUGGCGCACGGGUGCGUAACACGUAUGUAACCUACCUUAAUCAGGGGGAUAGCCUCUCGAAAGAGAGAUUAACACCGCAUAAUAUAUUUUUAUGGCAUCGUAGAAAUAUCAAAUAUUUAUAGGAGUAAGAUGGGCAUGCGGAACAUUAGCUAGUUGGUAAGGUAACGGCUUACCAAGGCUACGAUGUUUAGGGGAUCUGAGAGGAUGACCCCCCACACUGGUACUGAGACACGGACCAGACUCCUACGGGAGGCAGCAGUAAGGAAUAUUGGUCAAUGGGCGCAAGCCUGAACCAGCCAUGCCGCGUGCAGGAAGACGGCCCUAUGGGUUGUAAACUGCUUUUGUACCGGAAUAAACCCUUUUACGUGUAAGAGGCUGAAUGUACGGUAAGAAUAAGGAUCGGCUAACUCCGUGCCAGCAGCCGCGGUAA